CACUUCAAAUAUACAUAUACACACAUAUAUGUGCAUAAAAGAGAAGCUGAACUUUGAUGUACAAUAAAAUCAUGAAUAUCAUGUGAACAAGUAAGCUUCAUAGCUCCCUCACUACCAUUGUCAAGGUCAAUGGAACCUUAGUAAAAGUGGUAUUGGAUGUUAUUGUAGCCCAAGAAGUUCAGCUAAUUUCCAUUUCUUUCCUUCAACUCCUCCUCUUUGCCUCAUACACAGAUCCUCCUGCUCUGCUGAUACUCUUUGUAUAAUUGACUCAGUUGGCCUGUCUGGAUGGCUUUGGUUUGGGGUGCCUCUACUUCUCAGGUUUCCUAACUCAGUUCCACACAGAGACUGCCAGAGGGAAAGUGCUUCCUCCAAGUGUUGUUCAGGUUCUUAGUCACGAGGCACAGACCCCUGCACUAUGUCCAAGUACAGGGUUUUCUCAGGGGAAAUUGACCAACAUUUGACUGGGCCAAUGGUGUUUCUGGCAACUAACUAUAUUUAGUUGGUUAACUAAAUAAUCUUCAAAACUAGACAUGGAUUACCAGUUUCCAAAUAAUGUGAGUAUAAGGACAUACAUAGUCUUAAAAAGCCAAUUGAAUUUAAUUUUUCCAGGAAGAAGAAGGCAUUUAAAAUUUUACAAUGCUUCACUAUCAGAUACACUGAGUAGGUGCAGAACAUGUAGAAGAUAUUGAGAGGCCAUGUAUACCCAUUCAUGGUAUUAUCUUAAAUCUAUGUUGUAUGAUUAAAGCUUCAUUUUUUCCAAAAAACAUCUAUAUUGAAAAAAUAUACCCACAACUCCUAUCAUGGUGGCUGACACGUCCACAUCCCUUAAGGUCCUGGAAAUUCCUUUGAAAACAAAUUUCUUCAAGAAGGGUAAGUAAGCCACUAUCAUCUAUUACUUGAAUCUUUGGCUUGACUCAGUGGGUGUCUAGCCAUCCAUCCAAAAUAUCCUUUGGAAGUAGAAUGUAGGACAGCGAGAUGCUGAUGGAAAAAGAGAACAGAAGAUCUAAUGUUCCUAGGAGAGCACAUGUGAAUGGUGUCAUUAGGAGGUGUUUGUACACUGAGAGUUUUCAGGACUGUUACUAAAGGAGAAGAGGAGAUUUCAGAUUAAGGGACAUGAGAAAUAAGCUUUUCUAACUUUUUUUGAAGUAAAUUUGCCUUGGAAAAGUCCCCAAAAUAACUCUCCCAGAGUCACAGAAUCUCAGAGUCAAGAGACCUUGCUAGUCUUGUACGCAACGAGGUGCCACAUGUUGUAUGGCUGACUGGCUCCUCUUAAAAAAAACACAGCUUAAAGUAGAAAUAAAAAAUGUCAUUUCCCAGACCCCACCCAAGGUCUAGUGAAUAAGAAUCUCCAAGGUUGGGCCCAGAAAUAAAUAAAAAAUAUUUAUUUUUAACUUUUAUUUUGGAAAUUUUGGAACAUAUACAAAGGUAGGGAGGCAAGUAUAUAAUGAGUCCCUCAUGUACCCAUCAUUCAGAUUCAACAAUGACCAACUCAGGGCUACUCUCGUUUCAUUUAUACCCACAAUCACCCUCCUUCCCCCAACCCUGGACUAUUUUGAAGUAAAUCCCAAGCAUUGUAUCAUUUUAUCCAUACAUAGUCCAGCAGAUGUCUCUAAAGGACUCAAAAAAAUCAACCACAAUUAUGAUAGCUAACACAUUAAAAAGAACUUCUUUAAAAAAAACCCCAAAUAUCCAGUUUUCAAAAUUCCCAUAUUAUCCUUUAAUUCUUAAAUAAACAUUAAAAAAAAUAAAUCAGGAUAAAACAAGGCCCUUAAUUCCAGUUGGCUGCUGUGUCUCUUAAGUCUCUUUAAAUUUGUAGGUUCCCCUCUUCUCUUUUUCUUUGGCUUCUUCUAAUUUUUAUAUUGAAGACAUUAGCUGUUCCUCUUGCAGGAUUUUCCACACUAUGGAUUUUGCUAAAUGACUCUCCAUGGUGCCAUUUAAUCUAUUUCACUGCCCCCAUACUGAAUUCAAUUGGUAGUUGGAACUAGGGGCUACAUCAGAUAAGGUUUGCUUUUCUGGCAAAUUUACUGCACAGAUGAUGUUGUACUUUCAUCAAAAAGCACAUGAUCUCUCAUUGUCACUCUUUUUAUGAUGUUACCUGUCUCUAGUAAUCAUUGCACAGAUCCAAGAACUCGUUAGGAGUAGUGCAAUGGGAAUAGUGUAUCAGUCUUUUUCGUAUGUAUUAACUAUAGCAUUUUAAUAAGGAGAGAGUUCUUUUUGAUCACUCUGAGAUAGGACAAAUGCCAAGAGGGUCUAUAUAAGAGAUUCCCCAGGUGAUUUUGACAGGCAUUUUGAUUUAGGAAUCACAGCCAAGUCAUUGCCUCUCUAACACUUGAAUUGCUCUGCAAAUGCUCCAUUUGACUUGUGCCAUGGAUGAAAAAUUCACAACCACAUCAUCAGACAGUUCAUUCCAUCUCUGGAGGUCCAUACUGUGAAAAGCUGUCUUCAUAUUAGGUCCCCAAAUUCCCUCAGUUUCUUCCUACUAGGCUUAAAUAAUCUGGAAGCAUGAAUUCAAUUCAUCUUGUCCAUGACUGCCUUUCAUUAUCAAGAAAUAGUUAUUGUCUCUCCACCCCACUUUUCUCUCCAGACUGAACAUUCCCAUUAUCCUUUUGGAAGUUGUAUAUGAAUGUGAGGGUUUUAAAGAAAUAAUUUUAAACAGCCUGUGGAUUUUUGUUUCUCUCAUUCUCACAAAUGUGCCAUGCAGAAAUAAUUGCUUUUCAGGUUAUUUAUGUGCCAGGUAAGAGUAUGUCUGUAUGCAUGCAUUUCUUUCCCCUUAUUAUUUUAUAGAUAAUAUUGAGAAAUGCUUGAAAACUGACCUAUUUUAAGCUUGAAAACAUUUAUUUGUUUUUGAAAUUUUGGGUCAUUUUAUGGAUUACUACCUGUAUUUCUCUUCUCAUUCAUAUUACGAAAUGAAUUUGCUUUGAGCAUGAAACAAAAAUUUCCUUUAAUAGAGUCUUUGCUGUACCAUCGCAUGAAAUAAUCUCUCACUAGAAAUCCCUCCUAUGGUCCUCGCCCAGUGAGAACACAAGAGAUGUUCACAUUGAGAGGGAGAGGAAGAAAGGAGGGAGAACUGGAGAGAGGUGGGAGGGGAAGGAUGGGGAGCAGGAAGAGUGAGAGGCAAAGAUAAUCUGCCCAUUUUACUGUUCUGCUACGCUGCUGCUUUGGCAGCUCUGGGUUGGGCAAAUGAGGCAAUGAAUUCUCUUAGGGCAGAGACCCUAUCUAAUCAAGAAUAUUUUCCCUGAGGGCCCUGCAGUCAACCAUAGAUUUUGCAAAUGCAGGAGUACAGGUUGCCUCAAGCUACUUUGUGGCUCUUUGGCUCCAAUCAAAUACUUCUUGCAAAUACCUCAUCUAUCUUAAUAAUAUCCCAUUCCUGUUUUUCCAGUCCUCUCUCCAAGAGUGAUAUAAUCCAUUUUUAGGAUGUCAAAUGCCACCAAAUGCCUACAGUUCCAAAAUUUACUUAUUUAUCUCUGACAUAUACACAUAUCCAAACGUGUACUUUAUUUAUAGGAGAAAACGGCAAUUCUACCCUUUGAUUGGUACAGGGCCAAAGCAUAUGUAUCUUCCUUUACUCAGCAACAUAUAAUAUCUUUGGCUAGACAUCCUGGAAGGUCCAUUUUUAUCAAAAGCUUAUUGUAGAAAUUGCACUAAUAGAGGUCAUUUAGUCUAACUGUUCCCUUGGCAGGAAAAAUUUUGCCUAUCCUCCAGUAAAUCCAGACCGUGAAAUAACUGUGUCCUUGAAUGACAUUUUUCUGGCUCCAGACAGCGAGUUCUUGCUGACCCGCAUUGACACUGUUGCACCAUGUUUCAGUACUGUCACUGGCAGUUUACCUACUACGGGGCUGUUGAGGAUAUUGCUCAUCACAUCACUCUUUCCUUUGAACAAACACCAACCAGGAGACAUUUCCUGUUCUUCAUAUUUCAACAAGUAAUGUUCCUCCAAACAUAGUACCUCACCGACAGUAUGAUUCUGUGUUGAUCAUUUCCCUCUCAUGGCUUUAAUAACUCAGAAGGUCAAAGUCAAAUUUCCGGCUUAUGCAAAGCAUGUAAGUUUUUUCUGCUAAUGUGAUCAUGAACAUAAUGAUUUCCUUGCUAACUUUUCACAUUGUUCUGACUCUUUCAUUUGUACGUACUAUCCCUUUGUAUCACAAUUUUCUAACUUGCCUCAAAUACUUUGUAAAACGAUAAAUACAUAAAUAUACAUGUGAUACAUGGUACUUGCAACACUGUAUUAUAGUUAUUUUCUUAUCCGUGUCUCUUGUAUUGGACAGUGGUCGUCUUGAGGGCCAGGACUUUGUUUUACAUCUCCAGUGUCUAGCAUACUAUUUGGGUCAUCUCAUUAGCAUUAGCACCCACUGAACUAUGGAUUCAGUGCUGAGCUGAGCACUGAGCUAAACUGCUUACACUAUAGUUCAUUUAACCUUUACUAGGGUUUGGCCUCUAGAUGGCGCUCUAGGCCUCCCUGACUCCUGCUCUCCCCUCCCUCCAAAUGCCCUAAGAAGUGUAGAUACAGAGGGUCAAGUUACAGGACAGUUACUAAUCCAUGCUCAUGUUCCUUCUCUCUGUCUCUCUCUCAGCCAUGUUUUAGGAAUUUCCUCAUUUCUCCUACAGAACGGCUGUCAACAGUAGCGAUUCUCUGACUCCAGGAAUACGACGUUGCUCUGCGCACAGAAUUACAGUAGUUAGCCCUGACCAGUGAGAAAGGAGGGGAGGGCGACUGGAGCGCUGGGUUGCUAUGACAGCAGCGUCUUAACACUUCAAACCUUCUUCCCCCUUCCCAGCGCAGGUGCUGAAAUUGUCAGAGUGAAAUAAGCUCCUCUUCCCCGGUACAACACAGCGGGGACCGGGGAUGGGGAAGUGUUAAGCUUUGAGUCCCGGGGGCGUGCCAAGGCCUCAAAGAACGUGAAAUCAGUCUGGAGGGGUAUUGCGUGGGCGAUCCUCCCCAACCCGGCCACAGCGGGGCCACUGCAGAACAAGCUGCGAGGCUGCCCCCCGGCCGGGCGCAGUUCCAGGAGGGGCUCCCCCUGCUCCCAGCCGCCAGGGCGAGGCUCCGAGGAUGCCGAACGGUUUCCCGUCUGAAGAGAAACACCAGGUAAGGCAGGAACUCCAGAUGGCCUGCUCCUCCACACAGGGAUGCACGCUCCUGCAGGUAGCACCCCUUCCUGCCCACCGCUCGGUGAUCAGAGGAAGAAAUAUCGCUGACUCCCUUUCAGUCCUGGAGACUUAUUGCUUUAUAACUGAUGGAAAACAGGACUUUAGGAGCUCUUUUUUUCUCAUUUUUUCGUAAUAGAAGAAAUUGAGGAAUGAGUUAACCAUCACAUCAGGACUUGCAUGAAACCGUCAUGAAAGCAUUAGGACGAUUUCCCGUUUGGAAGAGGCAAUUUGUCACAGCUCCCUGUCCC